rnacentral:misc_RNA from 1 species
ACCGAUGAUGGUGACUACAAUAUCAAGCUGCGUAACCUCAUCAAGUUCCUUGAUGAAGGCGACAAGACCAAGAUCACGCUGCGUUUCCGCGGUCGUGAAAUGGCGCACCAGGAUAUUGGCUUCCGCAUGCUGGAACGUCUGAAAGCCGAUCUGGAGCCGUACGGCCAGGUCGAGCAGUUCCCGAAGAUGGAAGGCCGCCAGAUGAUCAUGGUGCUGUCUCCUAAGAAAAAGAAGUAAAUCCGUCGCGUAUGGAUCGACCAGGGGCGCUUUCGGGCGCCCCUGGUAAUUUGUGGUGCAGAUUUGCCGCAAGUGGUCUAUAAUUGCCGG